rnacentral:rRNA from 1 species
GUCGAGAAUCUUCCGCAAUGCGCGAAAGCGUGACGGAGCGACACCGCGUGAUGGAUGAAGUCCUUCGGGGCGUAAACAUCUUUUAUAAAGGAGGAAAUUUUUGACGUUACUUUAUGAAUAAGGGGCUCCCAAUCUCGUGCCAGCAGGAGCGGUAAUACGAGAGCCUCAAGCGUUAUCCGGAAUCAUUGGGCGUAAAGGGUGCGUAGGUGGUUUGAUUAGUCUCCCGUUAAAACUUCGAGCUUAACUCGAAAAGAGCGGGGGAAACGGUCAAACUAGAGUAUGUGAGAGGUGUGUGGAACUCAUGGUGUAGGGGUGAAAUCCUUUGAUAUCAUGGGGAACACCAAAAGCGAAGGCAGCACACUGGCACAUCACUGACACUGAGGCACGAAACCUAAGGUAGCGAAUGGGAUUAGAAACCCCGGUAGUCC